GAAGCAGUAGCUCAGCGGUAGAGCAACGUUAGUUUCAACAUUAUCUUAGUUGGUCAAUUGAAACUUACUUCUAGCUUGGGGCACGUGGGUCAUGGGUUCGAAUCCCAUCUGCUUCU
rnacentral:tRNA from 1 species